rnacentral:rRNA from 1 species
AUUGAACGCUGGCGGCAGGCCUAACACAUGCAAGUCGAGCGAGCGGCGGACGGGUUAGUAAUGUAUGGGGACUGCCCGAUAGAGGGGGCUAACUACUUGAAACGGUAGCUAAUACCGCAUACUAUCGGAUAACCCAUAUGGGAUUAGCUAGUAGGUUAGGUAAUGGCUCACCUAGGCGACGAUCCCUAGCUGGUCUGACAGGAUGAUCAGCCAAACUGGGACUGGGAACAGGCCAAGACUCCUACGGAGGGAGCAGUGGGGAAUAUUGCAAAAUGGGCGAAAGCCGGAUGCAGCAAUGCCGGGUGUAUGAAGAAGGCCCUAGGGUGGUAAAGUACUUUCAGUCGGGAGGCGUUACCGACAGAAGAAGCACCGGCUAACUCCGUGCCAGCAGCCGCGGUAAUUC